rnacentral:rRNA from 1 species
UACAGAGGUCUCAAGCGUUGUUCGGAUUCAUUGGGCGUAAAGGGUGUGUAGGUGGCGCCGUAAGUCGGGUGUGAAAUUUCGGAGCUUAACUCCGAAACUGCAUUCGAUACUGCCGUGCUUGAGGACUGGAGAGGAGACUGGAAAUUUGACGGUGUAGCGGUGAAAUGCGUAGAUAUCGUAAGGAAGACCAGUGGCGAAGGCGGGUCUCUGGACAGUUCCUGA